rnacentral:rRNA from 1 species
CAAUAACAUGUAGCAUGGGAUAAUGGAAUAGGACCCUGUCCUCCUAUUUUCAGUUGGUUUUGGCAGCGCGAGGACUAGGGUAAUGAUUAAUAGGGAUAGUUGGGGGCAUUAAUAUUUAAUUGUCAGUGGUGAAAUUCUUGGAUUUAUGAAAGAUUAACUUCUGCGAAAGCAUCUGCCAAGGAUGUUUUCAUUAAUCAAGAACGAAAGUUAGGGGAUCGAAGACGAUCAGAUACCGUCGUAGUCUUAACCAUAAACGAUGCCGACCAGCGAUUAGGAGACGUUGAAUACAAAACACCACCAUCGGCGCGGUCGUCCUUGGCGUCUCGUGUUCGCGCGCGGCGCGAGGGCGGCUUACCCCGGUGGCACCGGUGAAUGACUCCCCUAGCAGCUUGUGA